UACGGGGGGGGCAAGCGUUGUUCGGAAUUACUGGGCGUAAAGGGCUCGUAGGCGGCCAACUAAGUCGGACGUGAAAUCCCUCGGCUCAACCGAGGAACUGCGUCUGAUACUGGUUGGCUUGAAUUCGGGAGAGGGAUGCGGAAUUCCAGGUGUAGCGGUGAAAUGCGUAGAUAUCAGGAGGAACACCAGUGGCGAAGGCGACUCUCUGGUCUGUAACUGACGCUGAGGCGCGAAAGCGUGGGGAGCGAACAGG
rnacentral:rRNA from 1 species